GACGAACGCUGGCGGCGUGCCUAAUACAUGCAAGUAGAACGCUGAAGAGAGGAGCUUACUCUUCUUGGAUGAGUUGCGAACGGGUGAGUAACGCGUAGGUAACCUGCCUUGUAGCGGGGGAUAACUAUUGGAAACGAUAGCUAAUACCGCAUAACAAUGGAUGACACAUGUCAUUUAUUUGAAAGGGGCAAUUGCUCCACUACAAGAUGGACCUGCGUUGUAUUAGCUAGUAGGUGAGGUAAUGGCUCACCUAGGCGACGAUACAUAGCCGACCUGAGAGGGGGAUCGGCCACACUGGGACUGAGACACGGCCCAGACUCCUACGGGAGGCAGCAGUAGGGAAUCUUCGGCAAUGGGGGCAACCCUGACCGAGCAACGCCGCGUGAGUGAAGAAGGUUUUCGGAUCGUAAAGCUCUGUUGUAAGUCAAGAACGGGUGUGAGAGUGGAAAGUUCACACUGUGACGGUAGCUUAACAGAAAGGGACGGCUAACUACGUG
rnacentral:rRNA from 1 species